rnacentral:rRNA from 1 species
GACAGAGGGUGCAAGCGUUGCUCGGAAUUACUGGGCGUAAAGGGCGCGUAGGCGGGAUGGCAAGUCGGUCGUGAAAUCCCUCGGCUCAACCGAGGAACGUCGAUCGAUACUGCUGUUCUUGAGGAUUGCAGAGGAGACUGGAAUUCCCGGUGUAGCGGUGAAAUGUGUAGAGAUCGGGAGGGACACCGGUGGCGAAGGCGGGUCUCUGGGCAAUUCCUGACGCUGAGGCGCGAAAGCGUGGGGAGCAAACGGG